GGGGAUGUGGUCUAGUGGUAUGGCGUUCGCUUAGCAAAUAUUCUGACAGUUCAAUACUGUCGGUUACCAUUUGCGAAAGGUCCUGGGUUCAAUUCCCAGCUUCUCCA
rnacentral:tRNA from 1 species